rnacentral:hammerhead_ribozyme from 1 species
GCACUGCUGAGGAGUCCCACAACAGGACGAAACGGCAGUCCAGUGC